GGGGAAUUUUGGACAAUGGGCGCAAGCCUGAUCCAGCAAUGCCGCGUGCAGGAAGAAGGCCUUCGGGUUGUAAACUGCUUUUGUACGGAGCGAAAAGGCUCUCUCUAAUACAGGGGGCUCAUGACGGUACCGUAAGAAUAAGCACCGGCUAACUACGUGCCAGCAGCCGCGGUAAUACGUAGGGUGCAAGCGUUAAUCGGAAUUACUGGGCGUAAAGCGUGCGCAGGCGGUUUUGUAAGACAGGCGUGAAAUCCCCGGGCUCAACCUGGGAAUGGCGCUUGUGACUGCAAGGCUGGAGUGCGGCAGAGGGGGAUGGAAUUCCGCGUGUAGCAGUGAAAUGCGUAGAUAUGCGGAGGAACACCGAUGGCGAAGGCAAUCCCCUGGGCCUGCACUGACGCUCAUGCACGAAAGCGUGGGGAGCAAAC
rnacentral:rRNA from 1 species